rnacentral:rRNA from 1 species
GACGAACGCUGGCGGCGUGCUUAACACAUGCAAGUCGAACGGAAAGGCCCUGCUUUUGUGGGGUGCUCGAGUGGCGAACGGGUGAGUAACACGUGAGUAACCUGCCCUUGACUUUGGGAUAACUUCAGGAAACUGGGGCUAAUACCGGAUAGGAGCUCCUGCUGCAUGGUGGGGGUUGGAAAGUUUCGGCGGUUGGGGAUGGACUCGCGGCUUAUCAGCUUGGUGGUGGGGUAGUGGCUUACCAAGGCUUUGACGGGUAGCCGGCCUGAGAGGGUGACCGGCCACAUUGGGACUGAGAUACGGCCCAGACUCCUACGGGAGGCAGCAGUGGGGAAUAUUGCACAAUGGGCGGAAGCCUGAUGCAGCAACGCCGCGUGCGGGAUGACGGCCUUCGGGUUGUAAACCGCUUUCGCCUGUGACGAAGCGUGAGUGACGGUAAUGGGUAAAGAAGCACCGGCUAACUACGUG